rnacentral:rRNA from 1 species
AACGAACGCUGGCGGCGUGGAUAAGACAUGCAAGUCGAACGGGACAGACCGAGUAGCAAUAUUUGGAAUGUUCAGUGGCGAACGGGUGCGUAACACGUGGAUAACAUUCCGGAAAGCGGGGAAUAGCCCAGGGAAACUUGGAUUAAUACCGCAUGUGGCCGCAAGGCUCAAGACGGGGACCGCAGCGCCUGCCACUUUCCGAUUGGUUGGCGGCCUAUCAGCUAGUGGGCGGGGUGAGGGCCCACCAAGGGUACGCCGGGUAGCUGGUCUUAGAGAAGGACCAGCCAAACUGGAACUGAGACACGGUCCAGACACCUACGGGUGGCAGCAGUCGAGAAUCUUUCACAAUGGGGGAAACCCGGAUGAAGCGACGCCGCGUGGAGGAUAAGGUCUUCGGAUUGUAAACUCCUGUCAUGCGAGAACAAGGUACUCAGGCUAAUAACCUGAUUGUUUGAUGGUACCGCAAGAGGAAGAGACGGCUAACUCUGUGCCAGCCGCCGCCGUAACAC